GCCUAACACAUGCAAGUCGAACGGAACUGUUUUGAAAGAUUUCUUCGGAAUGAAUUUGAUUUAGUUUAGUGGAGGACGGGUGAGUAACGCGUGAGUAACCUGCCUUCAAGAGGGGGAUAACAUUCAGAAAAGAAUGCUAGUACCGCAUGACAUAUCGGAAUCACUUGAUUUUGAUAUCAAACAUUUUAUCGCAUGAAGAUGGACUCGCGUCCGAUUAGUUAGUUGGUUAGGUAACCGCUCACCAAGACCGCGAUCGGUAGCCGGACUGAGAGGUUGAACGGCCACAUUGGGACUGACACACGGCCCAGACUCCUACGGGAGGCAGCAGUGGGGGAUAUUUCGCAAUGGGGGCAACCCUGACGCAGCAACGCCGCGUGAAGGAUGAAGGUUUUCGGAUUGUAAACUUCUUUUAUUAAGGACGAAACUUGACGGUACUUAAUGAAUAAGCUCCGUGCUAAUUACUGUGCCAGCAGCCGCGGUAAUACGUAGGGAGCAAGCGUUGUCCUGGAUUUACUGGGUGUAAAGGGUGCGUAGGCGGCUUUGCAAGUCAUGAUGUGAAAUCUAUGGGCUCAUACCCAUAAACUGCAUUUGAAACUGUAGAGCUUGAGUGAAGUAGAGGCAGCCGGAAUUCCCCGUGUAGCGGUGAAAUGAGUAGAGAUGUGGAGGAACACCUGUGGCGAAGGCGGCAUGCUGGGCUUUAACUGACGCUGAGGCAGCGAAAGCGUGGGUAGCAU
rnacentral:rRNA from 1 species